UCCAUCCAUGUUGCUGCAAAUGGCAUCAUUUCAUUCUUUUUUUAUGGCUGAGUAAUAUUCCAUUGUAUACAUACCACAUUAACAUUUAAAUCAGUAGACUUUUGCUAAAGCAGAUUUCCCUCUGUAAUGUGUAUGGGCCACAUUCAAUCAGCUGAAGGACUUAAAAGAAAACAGACCGAGGUCUCCCAAAGAAGAGGAAAUGCUACCAGAAGACUCCCUCUGCACUCAAGUCACAACAGCAACUGUUCUCCGGGUCUCCAGCCUGCCAGCCUACCCUGCAGAUUUUGGACUUGCCCACUGGUGCAAUCACUUAUGUCAAAAGCCAGAGAAGACUUUCAACUCUGCAUAAUACUGGAAGAGUGCCUGGGAAAUGAGAUGUUCGCCAGACGUAGCCUUGGAUUUUUGAAAAAAUGUGUUUCUUCUUUCAACAUACCUUUACUGAAUCUCUACCAUGUGUCAGACACAGCGUUAGGUAUCGAAAAAAUAAAGUGAAUGAGAUACCAUCUCUUCCCUUGAGGUAGAGACUGGGUCCUACUUCUGUUCUUUGAAUUCCCAGCACAGCUGUGGGCUUACAGAAUAUAGUUGGGCUAAUUAAUUGAAAUGGAAAACUGCAAAGAAAUUAAUAAAUUCAUCAUUAAGUGAACUACAGGGCAAGUCCCUGAAGACAUGGAGGUUUUCUCUUUUUAUUCUAUUUUUUCUAAUGCAUCGUCUCACUGCAAGCUUGCCCUUACCACAAAGAGCUCUCAAAAAAAGUACUGAAUAAAGCAAAAAAGGCACAGAGAAAUGAAGGUCAAGAAGUUCGUAAGGAGCAGAACUGGGGUCUUGCUCCAAUAUUCUGGCUCAGAACCAUUACACAAUACUGUCUCUCAAGAAGGCUUGGGCUUCCCUGGUGGCGCAGUGGUUGGGAAUCCGUCUGCCAAUGCUAGAGGACACCGGUUCGUGCCCCGGUCCGGGAGGA